rnacentral:rRNA from 1 species
AUUGAACGCUGGCGGAAUGCUUUACACAUGCAAGUCGAACGGUAGAGGGGCAACCCUUGAGAGUGGUGAACGGGUGAGUAAUGUAUCGGAACAUGCCCAGUCGUGGGGGAUAACGUAGCGAAAGUUACGCUAAUACCGCAUACGAUCUAUGGAUGAAAGCGGGGGAUCGCAAGACCUCGCGCGAUUGGAGUGGCCGAUAUCAGAUUAGGUGGUUGGUGGGGUAAAGGCCUACCAAGCCGACGAUCUGUAGCUGGUCUGAGAGGCCGACCAGCCAAACUGGGACUGAGACACGGCCCAGACUCCUACGGGAGGCAGCAGUGGGGAAUUUUGGACAAUGGGCGAAAGCCUGAUCCAGCCAUUCCGCGUGCAGGAAGAAGGCCUUCGGGUUGUAAACUGCUUUUGUACGGAACGAAACGCGCUGUGCUAAUACCACGGCGUAAUGACGGUACCGUAAGAAUAAGCACCGGCUAACUACGUGCCAGCCGCCGCCGUAA